AGAGGGGUGGGGAGCGUUAAUCGGAAUUACUGGGCGUAAAGGGCGCGUAGGCGGUUAUUUAAGUCGGCUGUGAAAGCCCCCGGGGCUUAACCUGGGGAUGGCCAGUCGAGACUGAAUGACUAGAGUGCAGUAGAGGGAAGCGGAAUUUCCGGUGUAGCGGUGAAAUGCGUAGAUAUCGGAAGGAACACCCGUGGCGAAGGCGGCUUUCUGGGCUGCUACUGACGCUGAGGCGCGAAAGCGUGGGGAGCAAACAGGAUUAGAUACCCUGGUAGUCCACGCUGUAAACGAUGAGUACUAGCUGAUGGGAGCCGAUGAGCUUUCAGUGGCGUAGCAAACGCGCUAAGUACUCCGCCUGGGGAGUACGACCGCAAGGUUA
rnacentral:rRNA from 1 species